rnacentral:rRNA from 1 species
UUUAUGGAGAGUUUGAUCCUGGCUCAGGAUGAACGCUGGCGGCGUGCCUAAUACAUGCAAGUCGAGCGAAUGGACGAGAAGCUUGCUUCUCUGAUGUUAGCGGCGGACGGGUGAGUAACACGUGGAUAACCUACCUAUAAGACUGGGAUAACUUCGGGAAACCGGAGCUAAUACCGGAU